rnacentral:rRNA from 1 species
AGAGUUUGAUCCUGGCUCAGGGUUAACGCUGGCGGCGUGCCUAACACAUGCAAGUCGAGCGAGGGCUCGUUUCCCGCAAGGGAGGCGGGUACCUAGCGGCAAACGGGUGAGUAACACGUGGGCAACCUGUCCUCUCGCGGGGGAUAACACCGAGAAAUCGGUGCUAAUACCGCAUGUCAUCGUCGGGGGCAUCUUCGGCGAGAAAAGCAGAGAUGCGCGAGGGGUUGGGCCCGCGGCCUAUCAGCUAGUCGGUGGGGUGACGGCCUAUCGAGGCAUUGACGGGUAGCUGGUCUGAGAGGACGACCAGCCACAUGGGGACUGAGACACGGCCCCAACUCCUACGGGAGGCAGCAGUGAGGAAUCUUCCGCAAUGGGCGAAAGCCUGACGGAGCGACGCCGCGUGUGGGAUGAAGUCUCUCGGGAUGUAAACCACUGUCGGAGGGGAAGAGAAAGGACGGUACCCUCCAAGGAAGCCCCGGCUAACUACGUGCCAGCAGCCGCGGUAAUACGUAGGGGGCAAGCGUUACUCGGAUUCACUGGGCGUAAAGCGCGCGUAGGCGGCUGGUCAAGCGUGGUGUG